GCGCCCGUGGCGGAAUUGGCAGACGCGCUGGAUUUAGGUUCCAGUGCCUUAUGGCGUGGGAGUUCAAGUCUCCCCGGGCGCAC
rnacentral:tRNA from 1 species